CCUACGGGUGGCAGCAGUGGGGAAUAUUGGGCAAUGGGCGCAAGCCUGACCCAGCAACGCCGCGUGAAGGAAGAAGGCUCUCGGGUUGUAAACUUCUUUUAUCAGGGACGAAGCAAGUGACGGUAACAGAUGAAUAAGCCACGGCUAACUACGUGCCAGCAGCCGCGGUAAUACGUAGGUGGCAAGCGUUAUCCGGAUUUACUGGGUGUAAAGGGCGUGUAGGCGGGAAAGUAAGUCAGAUGUGAAAACCAUGGGCUAAACCUGUGGCCUGCAUUUGAAACUGUUUUGCUUGAGUACUGGAGAGGCGGACGGAAUUCCUAGUGUAGCGGUGAAAUGCGUAGAUAUUAGGAGGAACACCAGUGGCGAAGGCGGUCUGCUGGACAGCAACUGACGCUGAGGCGCGAAAGCGUGGGGAGCAAACAGGAUUAGAUACCCCUGUAGUC
rnacentral:rRNA from 1 species